rnacentral:rRNA from 1 species
CGGCAGACGGGUGAGUAACGCGUGGGAACGUGCCCUUCGGUUCGGAAUAACUCAGGGAAACUUGAGCUAAUACCGGAUACGUGCGAGAGCAGAAAGGUUUAUCUGCCGAAGGAUCGGCCCGCGUCUGAUUAGCUAGUUGGUGAGGUUAUGGCUCACCAAGGCGACGAUCAGUAGCUGGUCUGAGAGGAUGAUCAGCCACACUGGGACUGAGACACGGCCCAG